AAUCAACGCUGGCGGCGUGCUUCAGACAUGCAAGUCGAACGCGAAAGUUUCCUUCGGGGAACGAGUAGAGUGGCGCACGGGUGAGUAACACGUAAGUAAUCUACCUUUGGGUGGGGAAUAACUCAGGGAAACUUGAGCUAAUACCGCAUAAUGCAGCGGCUCCUUAUGGAGACAGUUGUUAAAGAAUUUAUUCGCCUAAAGAGGAGCUUGCGGCAGAUUAGCUAGUUGGUAAGGUAAUGGCUUACCAAGGCUACGAUCUGUAGCCGACCUGAGAGGGUGGUCGGUCACACUGACACUGAAUAACGGGUCAGACUCCUACGGGAGGCAGCAGUCGGGAAUUUUGGGCAAUGGGCGAAAGCCUGACCCAGCAACGCCGCGUGAAGGAUGAAGUAUUUCGGUAUGUAAACUUCGUAAGAAUAGGAAGAAUCAAGACGGUA
rnacentral:rRNA from 1 species